rnacentral:misc_RNA from 1 species
GAUGAAGAACGCAGCGAAAUGCGAUAAGUAAUGUGAAUUGCAGAAUUCAGUGAAUCAUCGAAUCUUUGAACGCACAUUGCGCCCCUUGGUAUUCCGAGGGGCAUGCCUGUUCGAGCGUCAUUAUAACCCCUCAAGCUCAGCUUGGUGUUGGGGCCUGCCGCACUGGCAGCCCUUAAAAUCAGUGGCGGCGCCAUCUGGCUCUAAGCGUAGUAAUUCUUCUCGCUAUGGAGUCCUGGUGGAUGCUUGCCAUCAACCCCCAAUUUUUCUAUGGUUGACCUCGGAUCAGGUAGGGAUACCCGCUGAACUUAAGCAUAUCAAUAAGCGGAGGA